rnacentral:rRNA from 1 species
GGGCCCGCACAAGCGGUGGAGCAUGUGGUUUAAUUCGAUGAUACGCGAGGAACCUUACCAGGGCUUAAAUGUAACGGGACAGAUCUAGAGAUAGAUCCUUCUUCGGACUCAUUACAAGGUGCUGCAUGGUUGUCGUCAGCUCGUGCCGUGAGGUGUCAGGUUAAGUCCUAUAACGAGCGCAACCCCCAUCGUUAGUUGCCAACGAGUAAUGUCGGGAACUCUAACGAAACUGCCGGUGCAAACCGUGAGGAAGGUGGGGGAUGACGUCAAAUCAUCACGGCCCUUACGUCCUGGGCUACACACGUGCUACAAUGGUCGGUACAGAGAGCAGCCACUACGCGAGUAG